CGGGGGACGCGGGAGCUUCUCCGGCGGGGGACGUCAGGCAAGCGCUUCUCCCCGCUCCAAUGGCGCGCACGCACAGGCCGAUCGUACCGUACUCUGGCGCUCAGCUCCGCUCCGCCGCGCCGGGGCGGUGGUCUCCUCGACUCCUCCUCUUUUGCGUUCCGCCCCCUGGAAGCGCACGGUAAUCGCAGCUCCCUCCCUCCCCGCCGCGUGGGGACGUGCGGUGCGGGGGUGCGGUUCGAUGCGGGAGGGCGAGGGCGAGGGCGAGGGCGAGGGGGGGAUUA
rnacentral:lncRNA from 1 species